AAUGAACGCUGGCGGCGUGCCUAAUACAUGCAAGUCGAGCGACCGGACGAUAAGCUUUCUCCUCUGCUGUUAGCGGCGGACGGGUGAGUAACACGUGGAUAACCUACCUAUAUGACUGGGAUAACUUCGUGAAACCGGUGCUAAUACCGGCUCAUAUUUUCAACCGCUUGGUUCAAAAGUGCAUGACGGUUUUGCUGUCUCUUUUAGAUGGAUCCGCGCUGCAUUAGCUAGUUGGUAAGGUAACGGCUUACCAAGGAAACGAUGCUUAGCCGACCUGAGAGGGUGAUCGGCCACACUGGAACUGAGACACGGUCCAGACUCCUACGGGAGGCAGCAGUAGGGAAUCUUCCGCAAUGGGCGAAAGCCUGACGGAGCAACGCCGCGUGAGUGAUGAAGGUCUUCGGAUCGUAAAACUCUGUUAUUAGGGAAGAACAGAUGUGUAAGUAACUGUGCACAUCUUGACGGUACCUAAACAGAAAGCCACGGCUAACUACGUG
rnacentral:rRNA from 1 species